GCAUAUCAAUAAGCGGAGGAAAAGAAACUAACAGGGAUUCCCUUAGUAACGGCGAGUGAAGCGGGAAGAGCUCAAAUUUGAAAUCUUCAAGGUUCUACCUUGACGAAUUGUAGUUUAAAGAAGUGUUUUCUGUUAGAUGAGUAGCAAAAGUUCCUUGGAAUGGGACAUCAUAGAGGGCGAGAAUCCCGUAUUUGGUUAUUCAUUCUAGCUUUGUGAUACACUUUCAAAGAGCCGGAUUGUUUGGGAAUGCAGUCCAAAAUGGGUGGUAAAUUUCAUCUAAAGCUAAAUAUUGGCGAGAGACCGAUAGCGAACAAGUACCGUGAGGGAAAGAUGAAAAGAACUUUGAAAAGAGAGUUAAACAGUACGUGAAAUUGUCAAAAGGGAAGCGUUUGACACCAGUGUUGUUUUUCCGAAAAUCAAUUACGAAUGGCUUGAUUUUGUGUUGUAUUGACCUUAUCAGCUUUCUUCACUUUUUUCGAGUCUUUCUUAAUGCACUUUUCGGUUAACAAGUCAACAUCAAUUUCUUUUGUUGUAAAAGAGUAUUCGGAAGGUGGCCUUCUUUUCGGAGAAAGUGUUUAUAGCCCUAUACUUCUACAAUCGGAGAGAUUGAGGUCUGCAGCGUAGAUCCUUCGGGGUUAGAUACACUUGUGCUAAGUUGUAGCUUUUCAUAGACAACUUGUUGACUAUGUUUAGUCAUGCGGCUUACUCGCUUGUGCUAUUUUACCUACGCUUAGGAUGUUGACAAAAUGGUUUUAAACGACCCGUCUUGAAACACGGACC
rnacentral:rRNA from 1 species